GGCCUCGUAGCUCAGUUGGCUAAAACAUUGGCUAUACUAAAGCCUUCUCAUUACUGGCGUGGGUUCGAAUCCCAGCGAGGCCA
rfam:Schistocephalus solidus strain NST_G2 genome assembly, scaffold: SSLN_scaffold0006119